rnacentral:rRNA from 2 species
UUGGGCGUAAGCGCGCGCAGGCGGUCUUGCUUAAGUCUGAUGUGAAAGCCCACGGCUCAACCGGGGAGGGUCAUUGGAAACUGGGAGAACUUGAGUGCAGAAGAGAAAAGCGGAAUUCCACGUGUAGCGGUGAAAUGCGUAGAGAUGUGGAGGAACACCAGUGGCGAAGGCGGCUUUUUGGUCUGUAACUGACGCUGAGGCGCGAAAGCGUGGGGAGCAAACAGGAUUAGAUACCCUGGUAGUCCACGCCGUAAACGAUGAGUGCUAAGUGUUAGAGGGUUUCCGCCCUUUAGUGCUGCAGCUAACGCAUUAAGCACUCCGCCUGGGGAGUACGGUCGCAAGACUGAAACUCAAAGGAAUUGACGGGGGCCCGCACAA